UACGUAGGGGGGCAAGCGUUUGUCCGGAUUUAUUGGGCGUAAAGAGCGUGUAGGCGGCCAGGUAGGUCUGCUGUGAAAACUCGAGGCUCAACCUCGAGACGUCGGCGGAAACCAUCUGGCUAGAGUCCGGAAGAGGAGAGUGGAAUUCCUGGUGUAGCGGUGAAAUGCGCAGAUAUCAGGAAGAACACCUAUGGCGAAGGCAGCUCUCUGGGACGGUACUGACGCUGAGACGCGAAAGCGUGGGGAGCGAACAGG
rnacentral:rRNA from 1 species